UUGGGAAGUCGGAUGAUCGCCCCGAUGUCCAUUGGGGAGGAAAGUCCGAACACCCGUUAUGUCGUAAGGCAUAAUGACAAAGAAAGUCGCUAACGGCGACCGGAGGAGUCAGAGCCUGAGGAAUUCGAUAUCGAUUUCUGAGACUGGCGAACUCUAGGGAAAGUGCCACAGAGACAAUACUACCCCGAUAUUCAUCGGGGGAAACGUGAAAAGUGUCACGAUGUCCGCAAGGGCUACGUGGCUCGUCCCGCGGUGACGUGGUGACGUGGUAAACCCUUUUUCCCUCCAUUUCCAUCAAACGAAAUUUUGGGGAAUACUGCUUCGGCGGUAUCUGGUGCAAGAGCAAAUUUGGUAGCUCGCUUGAGUCCGAUAGCAAUGUCGGAUCUAGAUAGAUGAUCGUCCAAGACAAAAUUCGGCUUACAGACUUCCCAAGCUA
rnacentral:RNase_P_RNA from 2 species